CCUACGGGCGGCAGCAGUAGGGAAUAUUGCUCAAUGGGGGAAACCCUGAAGCAGCAACGCCGCGUGGAGGAUGAAGGUUUUCGGAUUGUAAACUCCUUUUGUUAGAGAAGAUAAUGACGGUAUCUAACGAAUAAGCACCGGCUAACUCCGUGCCAGCAGCCGCGGUAAUACGGAGGGUGCAAGCGUUACUCGGAAUCACUGGGCGGAAAGAGCGCGUAGGCGGGAUAGCAAGUCAGAUGUGAAAUCCUAUGGCUUAACCAUAGAACUGCAUUUGAAACUGUUAUUAUAGAGUAUGGGAGAGGUAGGUGGAAUUCUUGGUGUAGGGGUAAAAUCCGUAGAGAUCAAGAGGAAUACUCAUUGCGAAGGCGACCUGCUAGAACAUAACUGACGCUGAUGCGCGAAAGCGUGGGGAGCAAACAGGAUUAGAUACCCUAGUAGUC
rnacentral:rRNA from 1 species